CCUACGGGGGGCAGCAGUGAGGAAUAUUGGUCAAUGGGCGGAAGCCUGAACCAGCCAAGUCGCGUGAGGGAUUAAGGCCCUGCGGGUCGUAAACCUCUUUUGCCGGGGAGCAGAGGUCCGGACGUGUCCGGGCCGGGAGAGUACCCGGAGAAAAAGCAUCGGCUAACUCCGUGCCAGCAGCCGCGGUAAUACGGAGGAUGCGAGCGUUAUCCGGAUUUAUUGGGUUUAAAGGGAGCGUAGGCCGGUCUUUAAGCGUGCCGUGAAAUUUUGUGGCUCAACCAUGAGAGUGCGGCGCGAACUGGAGACCUUGAGUGCGCGGAAGGCAGGCGGAAUUCGUGGUGUAGCGGUGAAAUGCUUAGAUAUCACGAAGAACCCCGAUUGUGAAGGCAGCUUACUAAACUGUGACUGACAUUGAUGCUCGAAAGUGUGGGUAUCAAACAGGAUUAGAUACCCCUGUAGUC
rnacentral:rRNA from 1 species